rnacentral:lncRNA from 1 species
GGGUGCCCGUUUCAUUUGCUUGUGCUGUUGUGUACUGUUUUACAGAUCUCCUGGAUCCAUUUCUAUUGCCCUUUCAGUUCAAAGGAAACGUGUAGAUUUGAGUGAGCUCUUGUUGCAGAGGAGGAGCAGUGUGAGCAAAACUGUUUCUAUCAGUCUGCUCCUCCAUCGUCUCCUCCAGAAGGCUCACAUGGCAAUGGGUUAUCAGACACAGCACGUGCUGGUGAGGCAAAACCCUUCGGAGAUCCCGGGAAGGUGAAAUGUCCUCUACAAUAUAGACUAUGUCAGUCUACUCACUCAUUCCUUUCCAUGUUCAUUCAACAAAUAUUUAUUGGUCCAUGUUCUAAUAUUAAAGCUGACACAGAAGGCUCACCAGAGUAAAAUUCCUAGGUCUCCUGAAAGGCACUGUUCUCUAAAAGUCUGUACUAAGAAUUUAAACAGCCUAGUUAGCUUUCUUGUCUUGGUAUUUAAACCUGGCUUGAGGCAAGCAUGCAGUGUACUCCUGUUUAAAAAAAAAAAAAAAAGGUAAAAUGACCUGAUACCAUAACUAGAGCCGAAUAGUAAUCUUUUUAUUGUUAUCUCUAAAUCAGGUUAAUUGUGUGCAUGUGUAUGCAUGUAACAUGCACACACAUUCACAAGUGUAGUGAAAUGCCAGUAUUUGGGAAGACUUAACACACACAGACUGCUUCAUGUCUCAGUAAAAAUGGCCUGUAGUCAGCCAUGGGCAUAAAUCUGGUGCGGACUUGCUUCAUGUGUGCAGAUGCUUCAUGUGUAGCUGGUGGGCCUCCUCCUUUUAUCUCACUCUGACCCUUGAGACAGAAGUGCUGAGGUGUCUCCCUGUAGAUGACCAACCUGUGUUUCUGAGGAGUGCUUCUGGACGAACAUCUGCCGUCUGAAGAGAAGAGAGUCAGCUAUCAACACACUGCUGUCUAGAGAUCAACCCAGAUACAGCAUCCCUUCCUCCCUCUGUGUCUUCCUUCAUCCUUACUUUGAACAGCAUACUUUCUGAAUACUAGUACAGCGUCUACAAAGUCAAUGAUUUCACAUUAACAUAGGCUUUCCCCCUUAGUCUCUAGGGUGGAGGUCAGUUCCAAGCAUGCAUGUCAAGCAGCUUGCCGUUGCAUGUAAGCCCAGCUCCAAAGGAUUUGAGAUCCUCUUUUGGUCUUUGCAGGCACUUGCACACAUGUGAUAUGAAUGUACAUAGCACACUAUACAUACGAGUAAAAAUAAUAAAAUCUUGAAAAACCUUAAAACCUCUCAACUUACUUUAGAAUUACUUUUCAUUCAUGUGUUAUUUAUGAGUAACCUAUAGAAAGACUAUCACUAGCACCCCUUACUAUCUGUUGCAAUUUGAGUGUUUCUCCUAAAUUCUAUGUUGACGUUUAGUUGUCAUUGUAACAGUAGUAUUAAGGGGUGGAGAUAGCCAUGGAAAAUUGAAAUCCCUGUACUUGGAAAACGGAGAUAGAAAAAUGUCCUGAGUUUGAUGUUAGCCUGGGCAACAGUCACUGUCUCAAGGGGAAAAGUGAUUGGCUGUGCAACUCUGCCCUCACAAAUGGAUUCAUGCUGUGAUCAAAAGAUCUGGCUAGUUACCUCAGGGGUGGGUUCCUGACAUCUUUGUGAUGCUUAUUAAAUAACAGCUUCAUCUAAAGAUUGUGUGUCCUGGGUUCAGGAAGACUGCUGAAUCAGAUUUGUAUUCUGUCUUCCUAGGAGAUAGGCGUGUGAUUAGCUGCAGUGUAUAAAUAAUACAAUAUCCAUUGUGUAGACCAUAGGCCAAGGAAUAAUUUAAACCUUAAAGCUUUAAUAUUUAAUAAAUUAGUUUUGUAAGUC